GCGAUCAUACUAGCACUAAUGAACCGAUUCCCAUCAUAACUCCGUUGUUAAGUGUGCUUGGGUGAGUGUAGUACUAGGAUGGGUGACCCCUUGAGAAGUACUCGUGUUGCACCU
rnacentral:rRNA from 1 species